GCAUCCGUAGCUCAGCUGGAUAGAGCACAACUUUGCGGAAGUUGAGGCCACAGGUUCGAAUCCUGUCGGAUGCA
rnacentral:tRNA from 1 species